rnacentral:rRNA from 1 species
UACGGAGGGUGCAAGCGUUGUCCGGAUUUAUUGGGUUUAAAGGGUGCGUAGGCGGCUAUUUAAGUCAGUGGUGAAAUCCUGCAGCUUAACUGUAGAAUUGCCAUUGAUACUGGAUAGCUUGAGUACAGACGAGGUAGGCGGAAUUUAUGGUGUAGCGGUGAAAUGCAUAGAUACCAUAAAGAACACCUAUUGCGAAGGCAGCUUACUAGGCUGUAACUGACGCUGAGGCACGAAAGCGUGGGGAUCAAACAGG